rnacentral:rRNA from 1 species
AUUGAACGCUGGCGGCAUGCCUUACACAUGCAAGUCGAACGGUAACGGGCCUUCGGGUGCCGACGAGUGGCGUACGGGUGAGUAAUACAUCGGAACGUGCCCGAUCGUGGGGGGUAACGAGGCGAAAGCUUUGCUAAUACCUCAUACGAUCUACGGAUGAAAGCAGGGGACUGCAAGGCCUUGCGCGGACGGUGCGGCCGAUGGCAGAUUAGGUAGUUGGUGGGAUAAAAGCUUACCAAGUCGACGAUCUGUAGCUGGUCUGAGAGGAUGAUCCGCCACACUGGAACUGAGACACGGCCCAGACUCCUACGGGAGGCAGCAGUGGGGAAUUUUGGACAAUGGGCGCAAGCCUGAUCCAGCCAUGCCGCGUGCAGGAUGAAGGCCUUCGGGUUGUAAACUGCUUUUGUACGGAACGAAAAGCCUUCUUUUAAUACAGGAGGGUCAUGACGGUACCGUAAGAAUAAGCACCGGCUAACUACGUG